AGGUAAAAGGUAUCAAUAUAAUAUCUUACAAAAUAAAGAUGAAUGAAGAAUUGGGACGACUGCAAACUGCGAUGAAUUUUCUGCAAGAUGGAAAUGUCAUAAGGAAGAAGAAAACUGGCAAGCUUGUUUGUGCAAAGAAGAGGUUUGCUUAAAAACAAUGACAAAGGAAGCCCCCUACAGCUGGCGAAACCCUGUUAAAGUCAUUCUGAAGAUUAUUACUGUGGUCAUAGAAACCCAAAGGAAAACAAGAUGUGUGGCUAUUAGAAUGGAGUGAUCAGGAUUCAGAGUCUUCAAAUAAUACAGCCAGAAGCAUUGUUUACUCAGGACAGCACUUCUGACCACGUAUCUCCAAAGUACUCCGAAGCUUGUUAUUUACUCCAACCAUGUUGAAAAGACCACAACACAACAUGCUUCCAAAUGAUGAGUCAUUAUUUCUCCUUCUACAUUUUCAUGGAAGUCAAGAAGUUGGGGACGUUGCAGUGCUCCAGUCUCGGGAUGGUGUCACAAUAUCCCAAGGGUGAUGGUAAGGGAGAACCCUGAUCCAGAUAGUGACCUGCCAACUCUGAAAAUGAGGGAAAGAAGAGAAACCAUCAAGGUAAUUACAUGAAGCAUAACGUGCUUGUAGCUGAACAUGGCUUAUAAAGCAAGGAAAAUAAUAUUAAAUGAGCAAGCAACGAGCAAUGAGCAAUAUGCCAUUGGGAACAGUUCCUGAAGAGUAUGACUGUGUACAAGUGAGUACAGUUUUAAGGCUUCUUGGAAGGAAGUUAUACCUGCUGAUUGAUCUCUUGCAUUCAAUAAGCCUAUGUGCCCCAGUCUUCUUUCCAAGGCUUCUUGAAUUUCUUUCGUGUUACCAUUUAGUCAGCUAAAUACUUUAUUUCCCUUCUUCUCUCUUAUCUCUUUCCCCUUUCUCCACCUAUUUCCCACUCACUCUGUUAAAUCAUCUGGUUAAAAUGAAUCUUUAUAAAACCCAUUGAGAUGCUGUUAUGUUCAUAUCAGAUUUAUUUUUCAUGAAAUAGGCUUUUCUGUUCCCUGGUGCUACUCAAUCUAUAUAAACGGGCUAUUUUAGUCAAUGAAAAUUUUUAUGGCUCCAGCAAAUCAGACUAAAGAAGAAUGCAACAUAUUAGUGAGGAGAGCCAUUCAACAUUAUGCGAUGCUUCCCUUAGGCUCCCAAACAUGAAGCAGUUCAGGAGAGCUAUCAUAUUUGAUUGAUAUAGUCAUAUUUGAAAUGAAACCCAGAGAUGAACAAAAUGAUUGGGCAUCGGAUUAAAGGCUUUUCUUAUGUAGGCUGAACAUGAUUUCUGUCAAAAAACUGAAUUUGCCUUUCACUAGAAGGCUUUUUUAAAUCUUUGGCCAGCAGAGCUGACUUCACAAUUGAUAAAUGUCAUACCUGUGUGCAUAUGCAGCUUCCUACAAUAGAGUCGAUUUGAGAGAGAUCUUUAGAAGUCUUGUUUUGUGUCUGUGAAGACAAUGGAAAGUUCUACAGCACAUCUUUGGAUGGCAAUAACAAUGAAAUACAGCUCCUUCACAGUGCAAAUCUGGAAUACUUGACAUGAGAUUUUAGCCAAAAGAAGUGCAAUAUGCAAACUGACUUGAGGAAACUGUAUGAUGUUUGUGAAUGGUCCAGCAUAUCAUAAAACCCAAUAGCAGCUUAGUUUCAAGUGUUUGAAAAUGAAAGAGCUGAAUAAAUGUAUGGACAUCAUCUCCUAGGACUGUGUAACCAAGCAUUUGCAUUUAUUUCAUUUUAUCAAUAUAUAUGUACAUAUAUAUAUAAUAUGGCUAUUUAUUGACUAGUUUUGAAUAAAAGUGUUCCUUUUUCUUUCUAAAGUUCUAUUUUGAUUUACUUUCCAAUGUUUUGAGCAUGCUUCCCCUUUUCAGCACAGCCUGCUUUCUCCCUUUGUCUUUGGGUUUCUGUGGAUUCUUCAAGGAUGCCAGGAGAAGCAGCCAGAAGCUAAUCAGCCCUAAUGCUCUGAAUUCUGCUUUACUCCAUAGCUCAGCUAGCCAAAUCCUAAAAUAGACUACCUGGCAUUUCCCUUCUAAGGAAUCAAGAGCCCUCAUAAGGGUUGUGAAGAUAGAGGGUUUGUGAUCUUCAAUUAUAUUGGUGUAUCACACAGGGAAAAAUAACAUGGGUGUGUAAUAUAUGUUGGAAGGAGAAAAAUUCUACUUAUUUUACCUACUAGUUUGGUAAUGUCAGAGUAUAUUUUCUUCGUUGAUUCCUGGGCCAUCAAAUUUCAACAUUAUUUUGAAAUAUUAUUAUUUUGAUUUUGAGAAGUACGUGUUUAAAACUGCUUUGACGUUAAGAUUGUAUUACAGCUUUGUCUUCAGAGAAGAUAAAUUAAGCAGAAUAGCUUCUCAAAUUAAAGAAUUGUGGCAGUUAGAUAAGCACAUGUAGUGGUAUAAACGCAUGCAGUAACCACAUGAAGUUUCUCUGUGAGAUUAAAUUGUGAAGAUGAGAUGCACAUUGUCAGAUGAUAUCUGUUGGCAAUUG